CUUAUCUGCCUGCCUAGGACGCAAGUACCGGGUGCCAAGCUGAGAGCCUGGAUGAUAUUUCACAUGUGCCGGUCCCAAAGGAAUUCCUUAACUCCCCCUUCCUGGAACCGAAAUGCUUCCAAAGACAGAGAGCUCGUAUAUAUAUUUCUCUGUUUUACCCAGCGGACCGUGCAUGAAAGGCGCCUUUCCUGGCGCGUGUGUCUCUGACCCUGUGGAUCUUCUGGACAAUUCCCGGAAUUUCUUGCAGGGUAGCACUUUCCCUUAAGUCGUCUCUUUCUCGUUUGGAUAGUCAGUAUUUGUAUAGUCACUAUUCUCUUUUGGUUAGCCAUCCAAUUUUAUACUGCUAGUCCAGUUCUACUGCCUUCCCCCUAGAGUUUGAAUUUAUUUUUCUUCAAACGCGACACAAACCCAAAUAAACUCAACCAAAGCGGACUUUACCUACCUACCUACCUACUUACCAAGAAAAUAUCCCAUAAAGGAGAGAACAGAGAAGCUUGCAAUACAGGAAGAAAAAAGAAAAGAAUUACAGAAUGGAAGCGAUGUGUGCGCUAAAAAUGCAGUGCUGCUGCUACCUACCAUAAUGUGUUUGUUGCAAGAUCCACAAGAACGUGGAUGCCAAGAAUCCACAAAAAAACAGAUGCAACCGUUGAUGAGGCCAUAAGCAGAAACAGUAAAUGGUUCCCACGUUUCCUCUGCUUUAACUACUGAUGAUGAAAUGCAAGUCAUAAGGCAAAUAGAAGGGCUGUACUGAUACAGACAAAAUGUUAUUAUUAUGGGAAGGGAUAAGUCUCUUGUAAAACCUCGAAAUUUUUUUCUUCUUUGAGAAAAAUCUAUCACCUAUUUUCACCCUGCUCUUGAUAUAGCAAAUAUUGUAAGUUGUCUUAUGGAGGACAGGAUGAUUCAGGGAGGACGGUGAAUGGGUUGACUCAAUCCAGAAAAGGAAGAGGAAAAUAAAAAGACAUAACGACCAAUCUGUGAAAA
rnacentral:lncRNA from 1 species